GAUGAACGCUAGCGGGAGGCCUAACACAUGCAAGCCGAGCGGUAUUGUUUCUUCGGAAAUGAGAGAGCGGCGUACGGGUGCGGAACACGUGUGCAACCUGCCUUUAUCUGGGGGAUAGCCUUUCGAAAGGAAGAUUAAUACUCCAUAAUAUAUUGAACGGCAUCGUUUAAUAUUGAAAGCUCCGGCGGAUAGAGAUGGGCACGCGCAAGAUUAGCUAGUUGGUGAGGUAACGGCUCACCAAGGCAAUGAUCUUUAGGGGGCCUGAGAGGGGGAUCCCCCACACUGGUACUGAGACACGGACCAGACUCCUACGGGAGGCAGCAGUGAGGAAUAUUGGUCAAUGGGUGCAAGCCUGAACCAGCCAUCCCGCGUGAAGGACGACUGCCCUAUGGGUUGUAAACUUCUUUUGUAUAGGGAUAAACCCUUCCACGUGUGGAAAGCUGAAGGUACUAUACGAAUAAGCCCCGGCUAACUACGUGCCAGCCGCCGCCGUAAUAC
rnacentral:rRNA from 1 species